rnacentral:lncRNA from 1 species
UGAGUUGUGGAGGCCAUGCCCAAACCCCCAUGUUGCUUAGGGUUGGGAGAGGGGCCAGAAACCUCAGGACCUAGUUCCUUUUGGGAAUCUUACCAUGCUGGGGUGUGUGUCUUGUUAAGUGUGGUCAAACACUCUUGAUGUACCAAAUAGUGCUCCCCAUGAAGCGCUCUUCCUGAGGCCCCCACCCUGCAACACUGCUCUGGGGGAGGGAGAGGCCGAGCCAGGCCUUGGCACAUGAAAUUGCACUUCUUAAAGAGAAAACUUUAUAGAAGGUUGGGUAUUUUUCCUAAUCACAAAAAUCUCCCGCUGAAAGAACCUAAGCUACAUUCAGAUUGAAGCCUCGAAAAUUACUUUAAAUUGUUUACUUUACGAUGUUUACACACACGGCUCACUUUUUUAGAAAAAUAAGAAAACUGCAAACUCUGGCUUUUUAACAACUUUUCAGAUUUUUUCAUGCAUGGGAUAUGCUGGCCCCUGACUCACCAGCUGGAUUAAUCCUCAUUUAGAAAUGUCCCGAGAUGUGGAUAUGUGUGUCUUCCCCCUCCCAGCCACAUGCCCAGACCUCUGUCUGUUUCUCUGGUGGCUUUUGCCUCCUGCUUUGCAGACCGCCUGCAGCCAUGAUUUUGUUACGGCAUCCAUGAGCCAAAGACUGCGCUUCGGAGCAGGAACUGUAAGCAAUACUACACAACUUGCUACUUUUGGGGGGAAUUUUUUUUUUAACUUCACUCAUGACAACAGAGGAAGAAAGGAAUUGAGGUUUAGGUAAGUUCUCUUCCACUGUGUGACCAGAUUCUCGGUGACACACAAUUGUGCAGAUCACUAGGAGAAGGAGGUUGGGUUUCUUUUCUAGUGUGUAACACGAGGAUCUGCAGAAUUUCCCAUAGACAAAGAGAAGGUCUUGUGUAUUUUUGUCCCUAUCCAAGGUUAUACAAACUAAUUGUGUUGUUUUAUACUGUGCCCACAAAUAUUAUGCAAUGCACCAUUUGUUUUUGUCUUUAUUUUAUUAAAGGAAGUUUAAUUU